GUGAUGGAAGUGCACCCUAUGUUAGUAGGGUCAGCAUCGAUGAAGCCAGAAGGAGGGAAAAUGUCAACCCCGACAAUGAAGAUAACAUUCUGAUGGGGAAUGGUUCAGCUCCAAGAGAGACAGCUUGGAAAAGGGCUUGUAAGCAAUGACAUCUAUUAUAUUUGGAACCAUGGCCCCAAGUUUGGUGGGGGAUUUGAUUGUCGAUACUGCCCCCUAAUCACUAGAGGAGGAGGUGCAACCUGCUUUAGGGAGCACCUUGGAGGUAUACCAGGUGAUGUGAGGGAGUUCCCUAAUGUUCCAAGAAAUAUCCGUGCUGCAAUGAGGGAAUCCCGGGAUGCUCAAUGCGGAAGAAGAGGGAAAAGAAAAAUCUUAGAUGGAUACAACCAUGUUUGAUGCAAAAAAUCCUAUGAUGGAAUGGUUGAAUGAGGAUGAGGAGCAUGCAAUCUUGGAUGGAGUUGAUGCUGCUACCGCCGUGUUUGAGAAAAUACGUUUGCUUAACUCAAGUAGGAAAGUGUCUCGUCUUGCAAGGAAGGACAAUGGCAGGAAAAGAAAGAGGGUAGAGGAAGAAGAGGAUGACUACCAUGAUAGUGAGGAUGAUGAUGAAGAAAAUGAGGACCUGGAACUGGAAAUUGAUGAUGAUGAUGAUGAUAGCCAUGAUGAUGGUGCAAGUCAAUCUGAUGGAGGAGAUUUGCCAAUGCAAGUUGAAAAGGAUUUAGCAAGCCAAGUUGGAAACGAUGUUGAGGUAACAAGUGAUGGUAGUUUGGUUAACCGUAGAUCUGAACGGGUUAGGCAAGCCAAGAAGGUCAAGGAGGUAGAUCACCAGCCUUUACAAUUGACAAGUUAAGCGGCAUGGGAGCAAAAGAGCUUUUGGUUUGAUGAAGACCAACGGGUGGAUGAACAGGAAGUCCUAAGUGAAGGUCUCUGUUCGAUUCAAUACUUUUGGUGCAAGACUGAAGAGUUGAAGAACAGGAAGUCUGAAUUGAACUUUCUGUUUGUAUUUUGGAGUCGGCAUAAUUGGACUUCGAAUGUCGUGUUAAAUUUAUCGUGGACUGUAAUUCUGAACCGUUAUGGGUGUUUGUUUCGGCUCUUGGUAGAACUAUUAAGUCGCAUGUUACUCUUAGUAUCUGAACUAUCAAGUCACAUGUUAAUCUGGACUUUCAUGUUGCUUUUCUAAUGGUUGCUGCUCUCCGAAUUGAUC
rnacentral:rRNA from 1 species